rnacentral:rRNA from 1 species
CAGCAGCCACGGUAAUACGGAGGGCGCGAGCGUUACCCGGAUUUACUGGGCGUAAAGGGCGUGUAGGCGGCCUGGGGCGUCCCAUGUGAAAGGCCACGGCUCAACCGUGGAGGAGCGUGGGAUACGCUCAGGCUAGAGGGUGGGAGAGGGUGGUGGAAUUCCCGGAGUAGCGGUGAAAUGCGCAGAUACCGGGAGGAACGCCGAUGGCGAAGGCAGCCACCUGGUCCACUUCUGACGCUGAGGCGCGAAAGCGUGGGGAGCAAACCGGAUUAGAUACCCCUGUAGUCCCUGUCUCUUAUAA